rnacentral:snoRNA from 1 species
UUCUCAGAAAAGAUAAUCCUUACCUGUACCUCUAUCCAGAGGGCAAACAGAACAUGAUGAUUGGAGCUCAAAUGAUUCAUGAUUCGUCUAGCAACACCCUAGUUGCUAGCAACACCCUAAUCUGGUUAUUACUGAA